rnacentral:lncRNA from 1 species
CUGGUGUAUAAAUAAAGGCAACAGUAGUAUACCGCUAUUCGAAAUUCAUAAAUCGAUUGAGAAAAAAACAAAUCCGGGUUACAAACGAAAACUGAGGGAAACGCAUCAAAUAUCAGAGGAGAACUACGACACAACAGAAACACAACAUUAAAAUGUAACACACAGAAACGAACUAUAAUUUAACAAGGGCCAUUUUCCUGACUUGGUAAAAGGGAUUUUAAGAAAAAAAUGUUUGUUGAACCUGGUUUUAUGGCAUGCCAAACCUCCCGCUUUUA